rnacentral:rRNA from 1 species
AAGAUUAAGCCAUGCAUGUCUAAGUAUAACAAAUUCAUACUGUGAAACUGCGAAUGGCUCAUUAAAUCAGUUAUAGUUUAUUUGAUGGUAUCUUGCUACAUGGAUAACUGUAGUAAUUCUAGAGCUAAUACAUGCUUAAAAGCCCCGACUUCUGGAAGGGGUGUAUUUAUUAGAUAAAACCAAUGGGUGCAAGCCCUCCCUGGUGAUUCAUAAUAACUUCUCGAAUCACAU